rnacentral:rRNA from 1 species
UCGGGAAUUUUGGGCAAUGGGGGAAACCCUGACCCAGCAACGCCGCGUGAGCGAUGAAGGCCUUCGGGUCGUAAAGCUCUGUCGGGAGGGAAGAAGGCCCUCGGAGUGAAUAAUUCCGGGGGAUUGACGGUACCUCCAAAGGAAGCGCCGGCUAACUCCGUGCCAGCAGCCGCGGUAAUACGGAGGGCGCAAGCGUUGUUCGGAAUCACUGGGCGUAAAGCGCGUGUAGGCGGCUUGGUAAGUCGGGUGUGAAAGCCCGGGGCCUAACCCCGGAACUGCACUCGAAACUGCCUCGCUAGAGUCUCGGAGAGGGUGGUGGAAUUCCCGGUGUAGAGGUGAAAUUCGUAGAUAUCGGGAGGAACACCAGCGGCGAAGGCGGCCACCUGGACGAUGACUGACGCUGAGACGCGAAAGCGUGGGGAGCAAACAG